rnacentral:rRNA from 1 species
GAGUUUGAUCAUGGCUCAGAUUGAACGCUGGCGGCAGGCCUAACACAUGCAAGUCGAACGGUAACAGGAAGAAGCUUGCUUCUUUGCUGACGAGUGGCGGACGGGUGAGUAAUGUCUGGGAAACUGCCUGAUGGAGGGGGAUAACUACUGGAAACGGUAGCUAAUACCGCAUAACGUCGCAAGACCAAAGAGGGGGACCUUCGGGCCUCUUGCCAUCGGAUGUGCCCAGAUGGGAUUAGCUUGUUGGUGGGGUAACGGCUCACCUAGGCGACGAUCCCUAGCUGGUCUGAGAGGAUGACCAGCCACACUGGAACUGAGACACGGUCCAGACUCCUACGGGAGGCAGCAGUGGGGAAUAUUGCACAAUGGGCGCAAGCCUGAUGCAGCCAUGCCGCGUGUAUGAAGAAGGCCUUCGGGUUGUAAAGUACUUUCAGCGGGGAGGAAGGGAGUAAAGUUAAUACCUUUGCUCAUUGACGUUACCCGCAGAAGAAGCACCGGCUAACUCCGUGCCAGCAGCCGCGGUAAUACGGAGGGUGCAAGCGUUAAUCGGAAUUACUGGGCGUAAAGCGCACGCAGGCGGUUUGUUAAGUCAGAUGUGAAAUCCCCGGGCUCAACCUGGGAACUGCAUCUGAUACUGGCAAGCUUGAGUCUCGUAGAGGGGGGUAGAAUUCCAGGUGUAGCGGUGAAAUGCGUAGAGAUCUGGAGGAAUACCGGUGGCGAAGGCGGCCCCCUGGACGAAGACUGACGCUCAGGUGCGAAAGCGUGGGGAGCAAACAGGAUUAGAUACCCUGGUAGUCCACGCCGUAAACGAUGUCGACUUGGAGGUUGUGCCCUUGAGGCGUGGCUUCCGGAGCUAACGCGUUAAGUCGACCGCCUGGGGAGUACGGCCGCAAGGUUAAAACUCAAAUGAAUUGACGGGGGCCCGCACAAGCGGUGGAGCAUGUGGUUUAAUUCGAUGCAACGCGAAGAACCUUACCUGGUCUUGACAUCCACGGAAGUUUUCAGAGAUGAGAAUGUGCCUUCGGGAACCGUGAGACAGGUGCUGCAUGGCUGUCGUCAGCUCGUGUUGUGAAAUGUUGGGUUAAGUCCCGCAACGAGCGCAACCCUUAUCCUUUGUUGCCAGCGGUCCGGCCGGGAACUCAAAGGAGACUGCCAGUGAUAAACUGGAGGAAGGUGGGGAUGACGUCAAGUCAUCAUGGCCCUUACGACCAGGGCUACACACGUGCUACAAUGGCGCAUACAAAGAGAAGCGACCUCGCGAGAGCAAGCGGACCUCAUAAAGUGCGUCGUAGUCCGGAUUGGAGUCUGCAACUCGACUCCAUGAAGUCGGAAUCGCUAGUAAUCGUGGAUCAGAAAUGCCACGGUGAAUACGUUCCCGGGCCUUGUACACACCGCCCGUCACACCAUGGGAGUGGGUUGCAAAAGAAGUAGGUAGCUUAACCUUCGGGAGGGCGCUUACCACUUUGUGAUUCAUGACUGGGGUGAAGUCGUAACAAGGUAACCGUAGGGGAACCUGCGGUUGGAUCACC